UUUAAGGUCUAAUCUGCCCUAUGAGUAGUUAAAUGGCUGCGGUAUUUUGACCGUGCAAAGGUAGCAUAAUAAUUAGUUUUUUAAUUGAAAGCUGGAAUGAAAGAUUGAACGAGAAAAUUUCUGUCUCAAUUUAAUUUUGAUUAGAAUUUUAUUUUUAAGUAAGAAAGCUUAAAUUUAUUUAAAAGACGAGAAGACCCUGUAGAGUUUUAUAUUAUAAAUUAUAUUAUUUUUUUUUAGUAUUUUAAUUUUAAUAUAAAUUGUAAUAUUUUGUUGGGGUGAUGGUUAAAUUAAUGAAACUUUUUUUAUUAAAAUACAUUAAUAUAUGUUUAAUUGAUCCAUUAUUUAUGAUUAUAAGAUUAAAUUACCUUAGGGAUAACAGCGUAAUUUUUUUUAGAGUCU
rnacentral:rRNA from 1 species